GGCUAAUCUGCCCUUAGGACGAGAAUAACCCCGGGAAACUGGGGCUAACUCUCGAUAGGUGAAGAACUCUGGAAUGAGUCUUCACUCAAAAAGCUUCACGUUAUCCUCGUGAAGUCGCCUAAGGAUGAGGCCGCGGCCGAUCAGGUUGUUGGCGAGGUAACGGCUCACCAAGCCUUUUACCGGUGCGGGCCGUGAGAGCGGGAGCCCGGAGAUGGGUACUGAGACAAGGACCCAGGCCCUACGGGGCGCAGCAGUCGCGAAACCUUUGCAAUACACGAAAGUGUGACAGGGCUAUCCCGAGUGCCAUCCGCUGAGGAAGGCUUUUACCCAGUCUAGAUAGCUGGGGGAAUAAGGAGAGGGCAAGUCUGGUGUCAGCCGCCGCGGUAAUACCAGCUCUCCGAGUGGUGUGGAUGUUUAUUGGGCCUAAAGCAUCCGUAGCUGGCUAGGUCAGUCCCUUGUCAAAUCCACCGAAUUAAUCGUUGGAUCGCGGGGGAUACUGCUUGGCUAGGGGACGAGAGAGGCAGACGGUAUUUUCGGGGUAGGGGUGAAAUCCUAUAAUCCCGGGAAGACCACCAGUGGCGAAGGCUGUCUGCUAGAACGCGCCCGACGGUGAGGGAUGAAAGCUGGGGGAGCGAACCGGAUUAGAUACCCGGGUAGUCCCAGCUGUAAACGAUGCAGACUAGGUGUUUGGACGGCCACGUGCCGUUCUAGUGCCGCAGGGAAGCUGUUAAGUCUGCCGCCUGGGGAGUACGAUCGCAAGAUUGAAACUUAA
rnacentral:rRNA from 1 species